GAAAACGACUGCUAAGACUGGAUAGUAGACAAGAAGGCAUCUUCUUGUUUUUAAAAGACCUAUUAAUAGGUAUGCUUAGGGAGGAGCUUGCGUCACAUUAGUUAGUUGGUGGGGUAAAGGCCUACCAAGACUAUGAUGUGUAGCCGGGCUGAGAGGUUGAACGGCCACAUUGGGACUGAGACACGGCCCAAACUCCUACGGGAGGCAGCAGUAGGGAAUUUUCGGCAAUGGAGGAAACUCUGACCGAGCAACGCCGCGUGAACGAUGAAGUAUUUCGGUACGUAAAGUUCUUUUAUUAGGGAAGAAUAAAUGAUGGAAAAAUCAUUCUGACGGUACCUAAUGAAUAAGCCCCGGCUAACUAUGUGCCAGCAGCCGCGGUAAUACAUAGGGGGCAAGCGUUAUCCGGAAUUAUUGGGCGUAAAGGGUGCGUAGGCUGUUAAAUAAGUUUAUGGUCUAAGUGCAAUGCUCAACAUUGUGAUGCUAUAAAAACUGUUUAGCUAGAGUAAGAUAGGGGCAAGUGGAAUUCCAUGUGUAGUGGUAAAAUGCGUAAAUAUAUGGAGGAACACCAGUAGCGAAGGCGGCUUGCUGGGUCUUUACUGACGCUGAGGCACGAAAGCGUGGGGAGCAAACAGGAUUAGAUACCCUGGUAGUCCACGCCGUAAACGAUGAGUACUAAACGUUGGGUAAAACCAGUGUUGAAGUUAACACAUUAAGUACUCCGCCUGAGUAGUACGUACGCAAGUAUGAAACUUAAAGGAAUUGACGGGACUCCGCACAAGCGGUGGAUCAUGUUGUUUAAUUCGAAGGUACCCGAAAAACCUCACCAGGUCUUGACAUGCUUCUGCAAAGCUGUAGAAACACAGUGGAGGUUAUCAGUUGCACAGGUGGUGCAUGGUUGUCGUCAGCUCGUGUCGUGAGAUGUUGGGUUAAGUCCCGCAACGAGCGCAACCCUUAUUGUUAGUUGCCAGCACGUAAUGGUGGGGACUUUAGCAAGACUGCCAGUGAUAAAUUGGAGGAAGGUGGGGACGACGUCAAAUCAUCAUGCCCCUUAUGACCUGGGCUACAAACGUGAUACAAUGGCUGUUACAAAGGGUAGCUGAAACGCAAGUUUUUGGCGAAUCUCAAAAAAACAGUCUCAGUUCGGAUUGAAGUCUGCAACUCGACUUCAUGAAGUUGGAAUCGCUAGUAAUCGCGAAUCAGCAUGUCGCGGUGAAUACGUUCACGGGGUUUGUACACACCGCCCGUCA
rnacentral:rRNA from 1 species